UGGGGAAUUUUGGACAAUGGGUGCAAGCCUGAUCCAGCCAUGCCGCGUGAGUGAAGAAGGCCUUCGGGUUGUAAAGCUCUUUCGGUGGGGAAGAAAUUGCUUAGGUUAAUACCCUGAGUAGAUGACGGUACCCGCAUAAGAAGCACCGGCUAACUACGUGCCAGCAGCCGCGGUAAUACGUAGGGUGCGAGCGUUAAUCGGAAUUACUGGGCGUAAAGCGUGCGCAGGCGGUUGUAUAAGUCAGAUGUGAAAUCCCCGGGCUCAACCUGGGAACUGCAUUUGAGACUGUACGGCUAGAGUGUGGCAGAGGGGGGUAGAAUUCCACGUGUAGCAGUGAAAUGCGUAGAGAUGUGGAGGAAUACCGAUGGCGAAGGCAGCCCCCUGGACCAAUACUGACGCUCAUGCACGAAAGCGUGGGGAGCAAACA
rnacentral:rRNA from 1 species